GUGUGACUGCGUACCUUUUGUAUAAUGGGUCAGCGACUUAUAUUCUGUAGCAAGGUUAACCGAAUAGGGGAGCCGAAGGGAAACCGAGUCUUAACUGGGCGUUAAGUUGCAGGGUAUAGACCCGAAACCCGGUGAUCUAGCCAUGGGCAGGUUGAAGGUUGGGUAACACUAACUGGAGGACCGAACCGACUAAUGUUGAAAAAUUAGCGGAUGACUUGUGGCUGGGGGUGAAAGGCCAAUCAAACCGGGAGAUAGCUGGUUCUCCCCGAAAGCUAUUUAGGUAGCGCCUCGUGAAUUCAUCUCCGGGGGUAGAGCACUGUUUCGGCAAGGGGGUCAUCCCGACUUACCAACCCGAUGCAAACUGCGAAUACCGGAGAAUGUUAUCACGGGAGACACACGGCGGGUGCUAACGUCCGUCGUGAAGAGGGAAACAACCCAGACCGCCAGCUAAGGUCCCAAAGUCAUGGUUAAGUGGGAAACGAUGUGGGAAGGCCCAGACAGCCAGGAUGUUGGCUUAGAAGCAGCCAUCAUUUAAAGAAAGCGUAAUAGCUCACUGGUCGAGUCGGCCUGCGCGGAAGAUGUAACGGGGCUAAACCAUGCACCGAAGCUGCGGCAGCGACGCUUAUGCGUUGUUGGGUAGGGGAGCGUUCUGUAAGCCUGUGAAGGUGUACUGUGAGGUAUGCUGGAGGUAUCAGAAGUGCGAAUGCUGACAUAAGUAACGAUAAAGCGGGUGAAAAGCCCGCUCGCCGGAAGACCAAGGGUUCCUGUCCAACGUUAAUCGGGGCAGGGUGAGUCGACCCCUAAGGCGAGGCCGAAAGGCGUAGUCGAUGGGAAACAGGUUAAUAUUCCUGUACUUGGUGUUACUGCGAAGGGGGGACGGAGAAGGCUAUGUUGGCCGGGCGACGGUUGUCCCGGUUUAAGCGUGUAGGCUGGUUUUCCAGGCAAAUCCGGAAAAUCAAGGCUGAGGCGUGAUGACGAGGCACUACGGUGCUGAAGCAACAAAUGCCCUGCUUCCAGGAAAAGCCUCUAAGCAUCAGGUAACAUCAAAUCGUACCCCAAACCGACACAGGUGGUCAGGUAGAGAAUACCAAGGCGCUUGAGAGAACUCGGGUGAAGGAACUAGGCAAAAUGGUGCCGUAACUUCGGGAGAAGGCACGCUGAUAUGUAGGUGAAGUCCCUCGCGGAUGGAGCUGAAAUCAGUCGAAGAUACCAGCUGGCUGCAACUGUUUAUUAAAAACACAGCACUGUGCAAACACGAAAGUGGACGUAUACGGUGUGACGCCUGCCCGGUGCCGGAAGGUUAAUUGAUGGGGUCAGCGCAAGCGAAGCUCUUGAUCGAAGCCCCGGUAAACGGCGGCCGUAACUAUAACGGUCCUAAGGUAGCGAAAUUCCUUGUCGGGUAAGUUCCGACCUGCACGAAUGGCGUAAUGAUGGCCAGGCUGUCUCCACCCGAGACUCAGUGAAAUUGAACUCGCUGUGAAGAUGCAGUGUACCCGCGGCAAGACGGAAAGACCCCGUGAACCUUUACUAUAGCUUGACACUGAACAUUGAGCCUUGAUGUGUAGGAUAGGUGGGAGGCUUUGAAGUGUGGACGCCAGUCUGCAUGGAGCCGACCUUGAAAUACCACCCUUUAAUGUUUGAUGUUCUAACGUUGACCCGUAAUCCGGGUUGCGGACAGUGUCUGGUGGGUAGUUUGACUGGGGCGGUCUCCUCCUAAAGAGUAACGGAGGAGCACGAAGGUUGGCUAAUCCUGGUCGGACAUCAGGAGGUUAGUGCAAUGGCAUAAGCCAGCUUGACUGCGAGCGUGACGGCGCGAGCAGGUGCGAAAGCAGGUCAUAGUGAUCCGGUGGUUCUGAAUGGAAGGGCCAUCGCUCAACGGAUAAAAGGUACUCCGGGGAUAACAGGCUGAUACCGCCCAAGAGUUCAUAUCGACGGCGGUGUUUGGCACCUCGAUGUCGGCUCAUCACAUCCUGGGGCUGAAGUAGGUCCCAAGGGUAUGGCUGUUCGCCAUUUAAAGUGGUACGCGAGCUGGGUUUAGAACGUCGUGAGACAGUUCGGUCCCUAUCUGCCGUGGGCGCUGGAGAAUUGAGGGGGGCUGCUCCUAGUACGAGAGGACCGGAGUGGACGCAUCACUGGUGUUCGGGUUGUCAUGCCAAUGGCACUGCCCGGUAGCUAAAUGCGGAAGAGAUAAGUGCUGAAAGCAUCUAAGCACGAAACUUGCCCCGAGAUGAGUUCUCCCUGACUCCUUGAGAGUCCUGAAGGAACGUUGAAGACGACGACGUUGAUAGGCCGGGUGUGUAAGCGCAGCGAUGCGUUGAGCUAACCGGUACUAAUGAACCGUGAGGCUUAACCU
rnacentral:rRNA from 1 species